rnacentral:piRNA from 1 species
UCUCGCACGAUUCUAGUCGUGGCCGCGAC